rnacentral:rRNA from 1 species
GAUGAACGCUGGCGGCGUGCUUAACACAUGCAAGUCGAACGAAGCACUUUAUUUGAUUUCCUUCGGGACUGAUUAUUUUGUGACUGAGUGGCGGACGGGUGAGUAACGCGUGGGUAACCUGCCUUGUACAGGGGGAUAACAGUUGGAAACGGCUGCUAAUACCGCAUAAGCGCACAGCAUCGCAUGAUGCAGUGUGAAAAACUCCGGUGGUAUAAGAUGGACCCGCGUUGGAUUAGCUAGUUGGUGAGGUAACGGCCCACCAAGGCGACGAUCCAUAGCCGACCUGAGAGGGUGACCGGCCACAUUGGGACUGAGACACGGCCCAAACUCCUACGGGAGGCAGCAGUGGGGAAUAUUGCACAAUGGGCGAAAGCCUGAUGCAGCGACGCCGCGUGAGCGAAGAAGUAUUUCGGUAUGUAAAGCUCUAUUAGCAGGGAAGAUAAUGACGGUACCUGACGAAGAAGCACCGGCUAAAUACGUG